rnacentral:rRNA from 1 species
GAUGAACGCUGGCGGCGUGCCUAAUACAUGCAAGUCGAGCGAACAGACGAGGAGCUUGCUCCUCUGACGUUAGCGGCGGACGGGUGAGUAACACGUGGAUAACCUACCUAUAAGACUGGGAUAACUUCGGGAAACCGGAGCUAAUACCGGAUAAUAUAUUGAACCGCGUGGUUCAAUAGUGAAAGACGGUUUUGCUGUCACUUAUAGAUGGAUCCGCGCCGCAUUAGCUAGUUGGUAAGGUAACGGCUUACCAAGGCGACGAUGCGUAGCCGACCUGAGAGGGUGAUCGGCCACACUGGAACUGAGACACGGUCCAGACUCCUACGGGAGGCAGCAGUAGGGAAUCUGCCGCAAUGGGCGAAAGCCUGACGGAGCAACGCCGCGUGAGUGAUGAAGGUCUUCGGAUCGUAAAACUCUGUUAUUAGGGAAGAACAAAUGUGUAAGUAACUAUGCACGUCUUGACGGUACCUAAUCAGAAAGCCACGGCUAGCUACGUG